CGCCGCCGCGGACUGCGGCAGCUUUAUCGCCAGAGUCCCUGAACUCUCGCUUUCUUUUUAAUCCCCUGCAUCGGAUCACCGGCGUGCCCCACCAUGUCAGACGCAGCCGUAGACGCCAGCUCCGAAAUCACCAUCAAGGACUUAAAGGAGAAGAAGGAAGUUGUGGAAGAGGCUGAAGUAGAUGAAGAAGAGGAAGAAGGUGGGGAGGAAGAGGAGGAGGAAGAAGAAGGUAUGAUGAGGAUGACGAUGUCGAUACCAAGAAGCAGAAGACCGACGAGGAUGACUAGACAGCAAAAAAGGAAAAGUUAAACUAAAAAAAAAGGCCGCCGUGACCUAUUCACCCUCCACUUCCCGUCUCAGAAUCUAAACGUGGUCACCUUCAAGUAGAGAGGCCCGCCUG
rnacentral:lncRNA from 1 species